AUAGAGACCGGCGCACGGGUGCGUAACGCGUAUGCAAUCUGCCUUCCACAAAGGAAUAGCCCAGAGAAAUUUGGAUUAAUGCCUUAUAGCAUCACGAGAUGGCAUCAUCAUGUGAUUAAAGAUUUAUCGGUGGAAGAUGAGCAUGCGUCCCAUUAGCUAGUUGGAGUGGUAACGGCACACCAAGGCGAUGAUGGGUAGGGGUCCUGAGAGGGAGAUCCCCCACACUGGUACUGAGACACGGACCAGACUCC
rnacentral:rRNA from 1 species